rnacentral:lncRNA from 1 species
CUCUUUUCCUCUGUUCCAUAACAUUUUUAUUUUUAUUUUUUUUUGCAUAUGUAGUCAGUCCAGGAAUAAUAAUGACUUUUUUAACUUAAGUUUUUCAGUAUGAACCUGCUCACAAUUACCUUCUGAUAAUACUUAAAAUAUUACAGCUGUAAAAUUUUAAUAAUAUUAAUCCCAGCACUUUGGGAGGCCAAGGCAGGAGAAUGGCGUGAACCCAGAGCUGGAGCUUGCAGUGAGCCGAGAUCGCAC